rnacentral:rRNA from 1 species
ACGGGAGGCAGCAGUGGGGAAUAUUGCACAAUGGGCGAAAGCCUGAUGCAGCGACGCCGCGUGAGUGAAGAAGUAUUUCGGUAUGUAGAGCUCUAUCAGCGGGGAAGAAAAAUGACGGUACCUGACUAAGAAGCACCGGCUAAAUACGUGCCAGCAGCCGCGGUAAUACGUAUGGUGCAAGCGUUAUCCGGAUUUACUGGGUGUAAAGGGAGCGCAGGCGGUACGGCAAGUCUGAUGUGAAAGCCCGGGGCUCAACCCCGGUACUGCAUUGGAAACUGUCGAACUAGAGUGUCGGAGGGGUAAGUGGAAUUCCUAGUGUAGCGGUGAAAUGCGUAGAUAUUAGGAGGAACACCAGUGGCGAAGGCGGCUUACUGGACGAUAACUGACGCUGAGGCUCGAAAGCGUGGGAAGCAAACAGGAUUAGAUACCCUGGUA